UCAAGGACAUGUAUGAUAUUGUGAAGAACAAGUGUCUUCCUUCUGCAUAUAUCCUGUUUGAAGGUGAGGCUCACGGGUUUAUCAAACCAGAGAACAUCAAGUCUUCACUGGUGGAUGAGUUGUAUUUCUUCUCUCAAGUGCUAGACUUCACAUUAGCUGACGUCACUUCAGAUUUGGUUAUUGACAACCUGGAGUCAUGGAAGGGGGAAACACCACUGAAGUGAGCAGUUAUUCUUUUCCAUAUAAAAAGUUCUAUACCCGAUAGG